rnacentral:rRNA from 1 species
UGCCAGCAGCUGCGGUUAGACUGUGAGGGUUCUGAAGAUUUGUCGGGCAGUAGUUAGUUAUAAGGACAAUUCUAGAAUAUAGUCAUUAUAUGAGGGGGUGGAAUCUAUAUAUAGACAUGGUGUGAUUCUGAGAGUGUCCGAUGACUAGGCUACGAGGGAGUGGGCCUAAACUAGGAUUAGAUACCCUAUUAUACCAUUCUGCUAAUAUAUUGUGCUUGAGUAGUAAACAGUUAUGAGCUCGAAAUUCAAAGGAAUUGGCGGUGCUUCAGUCUAGUUAGAGGAACCUGUACUUUAAUACGAUAUGCCACGAAGUAUCUUACUUGUCCUUGUACUACACUCAGUCAGUAUACCGCCAUUAUCAGGUAACAUUAAAAAGUGUUUACUGCAAUGGAAAGGAGGGUCAAUUAAAUUAGGUCAAGGUGCUGCCUAUGGGUAAGUAGCUAUGGGUUACAAUGAUUUUUAUUCAUAUAACGGAUAGGGGUUUGAAAUUUUCUCCUUUAAGGUGGAUUUAAUAGUAAGUCUAUUUCAAUAAGGUAAACUGAUAGUAGCCCUGGGGUGUGUACAUAUUGCCCGUCGCUCUCACACCAAUGUGAGAUAAGUCGUAACAAAGUAGGA